GCCAUGCCGCGUGUGUGAAGAAGGCCUUCGGGUUGUAAAGCACUUUCAGUCAGGAGGAAAGGUUAGUAGUUAAUACCUGCUAGCUGUGACGUUACUGACAGAAGAAGCACCGGCUAACUCCGUGCCAGCAGCCGCGGUAAUACGGAGGGUGCGAGCGUUAAUCGGAAUUACUAGGCGUAAAGCGUACGCAGGCGGUUUGUUAAGCGAGAUGUGAAAGCCCCGGGCUCAACCUGGGAAUUGCAUUUUGAACUGGCAUGCUAGAGUCCUGAAGAGGGUGGUAGAAUUUCCAGUGUAGCGGUGAAAUGCGUAGAUAUUGGAANGNGAAUACCGGUGGCGAAGGCGGCCACCUGGUCAGAGACUGACGCUGAGGUACGAAAGCGUGGGGAGCAAACGGGAUUAGAUACCCUGGUAGUCCACGCCGUAAACGAUGUCAACUAGUUGUUCGUGUCAUUAAGACGUGAGUAACGCAGCUAACGCACUAAGUUGACCGCCUGGGGANGUACGNGCCNGCNAAGGUUAAAACUCAAAUGAAUUGACGGGGGCCCGCACAAGCGGUGGAGCAUGUGGUUUAAUUCGAUGCAACGCGAAGAACCUUACCAUCCCUUGACAUCCAGUGAAUUUUUCAGAGAUGAAUUAGUGCCUUCGGGAACACUGAGACAGGUGCUGCAUGGCUGUCGUCAGCUCGUGUUGUGAGAUGUUGGGUUAAGUCCCGCAACGAGCGCAACCCUUAUCCUUAGUUGCCAGCACGUAAAGGUGGGAACUCUGGGGAGACUGCCGGUGAUAAACCGGAGGAAGGUGGGGACGACGUCAAGUCAUCAUGGCCCUUACGGGAUGGGCUACACACGUGCUACAAUGGCGCAUACAAAGGGCAGCAAGCCAGCGAUGGUUAGCGAAUCUCAUAAAGUGCGUCGUAGUCCGGAUCGGAGUCUGCAACUCGACUCCGUGAAGUCGGAAUCGCUAGUAAUCGUGGAUCAGAAUGCCACGGUGAAUACGUUCCCGGGCCUUGUACACACCGCCCGUCACACCAUGGGAGUGGGCUGCACCAGAAGUGGUUAGUUUAACCUUCGGGAGAACGAUCACCACGGUGUGGUUCAUGACUGGGGUGAAGUCGUAACAAGGUAACC
rnacentral:rRNA from 1 species